rnacentral:rRNA from 1 species
GAUGAACGCUGGCGGCGUGCCUAAUACAUGCAAGUCGAGCGAACAGACGAGGAGCUUGCUCCUUUGACGUUAGCGGCGGACGGGUGAGUAACACGUAGGUAACCUACCUAUAAGACUGGGAUAACUUCGGGAAACCGGAGCUAAUACCGGAUAAUAUUUCGAACCGCAUGGUUCGAUAGUGAAAGAUGGCUUUGCUAUCACUUAUAGAUGGACCUGCGCCGUAUUAGCUAGUUGGUAAGGUAACGGCUUACCAAGGCAACGAUACGUAGCCGACCUGAGAGGGUGAUCGGCCACACCGGAACUGAGACACGGUCCAGACUCCUACGGGAGGCAGCAGUAGGGAAUCUUCCGCAAUGGGCGAAAGCCUGACGGAGCAACGCCGCGUGAGUGAUGAAGGUCUUCGGAUCGUAAAACUCUGUUAUUAGGGAAGAACAAACGUGUAAGUAACUGUGCACGUCUUGACGGUACCUAAUCAGAAAACCACGGCUAACUACGU